rnacentral:rRNA from 1 species
GACGAACGCUGGCGGCGUGCCUAAUACAUGCAAGUAGAACGCUGAAGGAGGAGCUUGCUCUUCUGGAUGAGUUGCGAACGGGUGAGUAACGCGUAGGUAACCUGCCUGGUAGCGGGGGAUAACUAUUGGAAACGAUAGCUAAUACCGCAUAAGAGUAGAUGUUGCAUGACAUUUACUUAAAAGGUGCAAUUGCAUCACUACCAGAUGGCCCUGCGUUGUAUUAGCUAGUUGGUGGGGUAACGGCUUACCAAGGCGACGAUACAUAGCCGACCUGAGAGGGGGAUCGGCCACACUGGGACUGAGACACGGCCCAGACUCCUACGGGAGGCAGCAGGAGGGAAUCUUCGGCAAUGGACGGAAGUCUGACCGAGCAACGCCGCGUGAGUGAAGAAGGUUUUCGGAUCGUAAAGCUCUGUUGUAAGAGAAGAACGAGUGUGAGAGUGGAAAGUUCACACUGUGACGGUAUCUUACCAGAAAGGGACGGCUAACUACGUG